rnacentral:rRNA from 1 species
GACGAACGCUGGCGGCGUGCUUAACACAUGCAAGUCGAACGGAAAGGCCCUGCUUUUGUGGGGUGCUCGAGUGGCGAACGGGUGAGUAACACGUUAGUAACCUGCCCUUGACUUUGGGAUAACUUCAGGAAACUGGGGCUAAUACCGGAUAGGAGCUCCUGCUGCAUGGUGGGGGUUGGAAAGUUUCGGCGGUUGGGGAUGGACUCGCGGCUUAUCAGCUUGUUGGUGGGGUAGUGGCUUACCAAGGCUUUGACGGGUAGCCGGCCUGAGAGGGUGACCGGCAAAAUGGGGACGGGGAUACGGCCCAAACGCCAACGGGAGGGAGGAGGGGGGAAGAUGGCAAAAGGGGAGGAGGCGGGAUGCAGCAACGCCGGGGGGGGGAGGACGGCCUUCGGGUUGUAAAACGCUUUCGCCGGUGACGAAGGGUGAGUGAGGGAAAUGGGGAAAGAAGCACCGGCGAAAUACGG